AGCGAACGCUGGCGGCAGGCUUAACACAUGCAAGUCGAGCGGACCUUUCGGGGUCAGCGGCGGACGGGUGAGUAACGCGUGGGAACGUGCCUUCCGGUUCGGAAUAACCCUGGGAAACUAGGGCUAAUACCGGAUACGCCCUUAUGGGGAAAGGUUUACUGCCGGAAGAUCGGCCCGCGUCUGAUUAGCUAGUUGGUGGGGUAACGGCCUACCAAGGCGACGAUCAGUAGCUGGUCUGAGAGGAUGAUCAGCCACACUGGGACUGGGACACGGCCCAGACUCCUGCGGGAGGCAGCAGUGGGGAAUAUUGGACAAUGGGCGCAAGCCUGAUCCAGCCAUGCCGGGUGAGUGAUGAAGGCCUUAGGGUUGUAAAGCUCUUUUAUCCGGGACGAUAAUGACGGUACCGGAGGAAUAAGCCCCGGCUAACUUCGU
rnacentral:rRNA from 1 species